rnacentral:rRNA from 1 species
UGGGGAAUAUUGCACAAUGGGCGAAAGCCUGAUGCAGCGACGCCGCGUGAGGGAUGACGGCCUUCGGGUUGUAAACCUCUUUCAGCAGGGAAGAAGCGCAAGUGACGGUACCUGCAGAAGAAGCACCGGCUAACUACGUGCCAGCAGCCGCGGUAAUACGUAGGGUGCGAGCGUUGUCCGGAAUUAUUGGGCGUAAAGAGCUCGUAGGCGGUCUGUCGCGUCGGAUGUGAAAGCCCGGGGCUUAACCCCGGGUCUGCAUUCGAUACGGGCAGACUAGAGUGUGGUAGGGGAGAUCGGAAUUCCUGGUGUAGCGGUGAAAUGCGCAGAUAUCAGGAGGAACACCGGUGGCGAAGGCGGAUCUCUGGGCCAUUACUGACGCUGAGGAGCGAAAGCGUGGGGAGCGAACAGGAUUAGAUACCCCCGUAGUCC